rnacentral:rRNA from 1 species
GAAGAGAGAGUUAAAGAGCACGUGAAAUCGGUAAGGUGGAAACGGAUAGAGUUGACGUAUAUGGCUUGUAUUCAAACGUUAGAUAAUGCGUAACAAUGGGUUGUUUUUUGUGUUGACCGGUUUAAUAUACGCUAUUUUCGGAUAGUUUGUUAUGUUGGGCUGGUUUGGCGCGCAGUCCAUUGGUGUUUACGUUUUUUAGCGUUGCAUUUACGAGUCAAUGUGCGCUGGGACAUGCGCGCUACGGUCGUUGAAAAAGUUUGGUUGCAAGAGGUUACUUUUUUUAAAAAAGUAUUUUAUUAUUUUUUAUAAAUGAUAAAAUAUAAAAGUAAAACCGUGCCCCUUUUGUAGGCGAUUCGUCGUGCAUGUAGUACUAAAAUUUUUGGUUUUUAAAGGAUGGCAUUUUUAAAAUAAAUGCGAGCGUUUAAAUUGAGUUGUAUUUAUUUGUUAUGCGAGUCGCACGCGACUCGUAUAAUUAAUUUGUUUUAAAAAUGGAUACAUCAGUUUAAAUGUUACACGUUUUCCUUUAUCCCAGUGUAAAAGUCAAUCAUCUAUCCGACCCGUCUUGAAACACGGACCAAGGAGUUUAACGUAUACGCGAGUCAUUGGGUGUUAAAAACCUAAAGGCGUAAUGAAAGUAAACGUAUUCUUUGAAAUACAAAUAUGCGAUCUUGUGAACUACGAUUUACAAGCGCAGCAUAGCCCCGUUUUUGUCGCAUGCGAUAGAGCGGAGGAAGAGCGUAUGCGUUGAGACCCGAAAGAUGGUGAACUAUGCCUGAGCAGGACGAAGCCAGAGGAAACUCUGGUGGAAGUCCGAAUCGGUUCUGACGUGCAAAUCGAUCGUCUGACUUGGGUAUAGGGGCGAAAGACUAAUCGAACUAUC